rnacentral:rRNA from 1 species
AGCGAACGCUGGCGGUAUGCUUAACACAUGCAAGUCGAGCGCGAAAGUGACUUCGGUCAUAAGUAGAGCGGCGGACGGGUGAGUAACACGUGGAUAAUCUGCCUUUAGGACUGGGAUAACCCUGGGAAACUAGGGCUAAUACCGGAUAAGACCACAGGUUCCAUGGAACCAGGGGUAAAAGGCGGCCUUCGGGCUGUCGCCGAAAGAUGAGUCCGCGUCCCAUCAGGUAGUUGGUGAGGUAACGGCUCACCAAGCCGAAGACGGGUAGCCGACCUUAGCGGGUGAUCGGCCACACGGGGACUGAGACACGGCCCCGACUCCUACGGGAGGCAGCAGUGGGGAAUCUUGGGCAAUGGGCGCAAGCCUGACCCAGCAAUACCGCGUGAGGAUGAAGGCC